AGUGAACGCUGGCGGUAGGCCUAACACAUGCAAGUCGAACGGCAGCACAGUAAGAGCUUGCUCUUACGGGUGGCGAGUGGCGGACGGGUGAGGAAUACAUCGGAAUCUACUUUUUCGUGGGGGAUAACGUAGGGAAACUUACGCUAAUACCGCAUACGACCUACGGGUGAAAGCAGGGGAUCUUCGGACCUUGCGCGAUUGAAUGAGCCGGUGUCGGAUUAGCUAGUUGGCGGGGGAAAGGCCCACCAAGGCGACGAUCCGUAGCUGGUCUGAGAGGAUGAUCAGCCACACUGGGACUGGGACACGGUCCAGACUCCUACGGGGGGCAGCAGUGGGGAAUAUUGGACGAUGGGCGCAGGCCUGAUCCAGCCAUACCGCGUGGGUGAAGAAGGCCUUCGGGUUUUAAAGCCCUUUUGUUGGGAAAGAAAAGCAGCAGGUUAAUACCCCGCUGUUCUGACGGUACCCAAAGAAUAAGCACCGGCUAACUUCGUG
rnacentral:rRNA from 1 species